rnacentral:rRNA from 1 species
ACCAGGAGCUUGCUCUUGGGGAUCAGUGGCGAACGGGUGAGUAACACGUGAGCAAUCUGCCCCUGACUCUGGGAUAAGCGCUGGAAACGGCGUCUAAUACUGGAUACGAGCCGUGAAGGCAUCUUCAACGGUUGGAAAGAUUUUUCGGUCAGGGAUGAGCUCGCGGCCUAUCAGCUUGUUGGUGAGGUAAUGGCUCACCAAGGCGUCGACGGGUAGCCGGCCUGAGAGGGUGACCGGCCACACUGGGACUGAGACACGGCCCAGACUCCUACGGGAGGCAGCAGUGGGGAAUAUUGCACAAUGGGCGCAAGCCUGAUGCAGCAACGCCGCGUGAGGGAUGACGGCCUUCGGGUUGUAAACCUCUUUUAGCAGGGAAGAAGCGAAAGUGACGGUACCUGCAGAAAAAGCGCCGGCUAACUACGUGCCAGCAGCCGCGGUAAUACGUAGGGCGCAAGCGUUAUCCGGAAUUAUUGGGCGUAAAGAGCUCGUAGGCGGUUUGUCGCGUCUGCUGUGAAAUCCCGAGGCUCAACCUCGGGUCUGCAGUGGGUACGGGCAGACUAGAGUGCGGUAGGGGAGAUUGGAAUUCCUGGUGUAGCGGUGGAAUGCGCAGAUAUCAGGAGGAACACCGAUGGCGAAGGCAGAUCUCUGGGCCGUAACUGACGCUGAGGAGCGAAAGGGUGGGGAGCAAACAGGCUUAGAUACCCUGGUAGUCCACCCCGUAAACGUUGGGAACUAGUUGUGGGGUCCAUUCCACGGAUUCCGUGACGCAGCUAACGCAUUAAGUUCCCCGCCUGGGGAGUACGGCCGCAAGGCUAAAACUCAAAGGAAUUGACGGGGACCCGCACAAGCGGCGGAGCAUGCGGAUUAAUUCGAUGCAACGCGAAGAACCUUACCAAGGCUUGACAUACACGAGAACGCUGCAGAAAUGUAGAACUCUUUGGACACUCGUGAACAGGUGGUGCAUGGUUGUCGUCAGCUCGUGUCGUGAGAUGUUGGGUUAAGUCCCGCAACGAGCGCAACCCUCGUUCUAUGUUGCCAGCACGUAAUGGUGGGAACUCAUGGGAUACUGCCGGGGUCAACUCGGAGGAAGGUGGGGAUGACGUCAAAUCAUCAUGCCCCUUAUGUCUUGGGCUUCACGCAUGCUACAAUGGCCGGUACAAAGGGCUGCGAUACCGUAAGGUGGAGCGAAUCCCAAAAAGCCGGUCCCAGUUCGGAUUGAGGUCUGCAACUCGACCUCAUGAAGUCGGAGUCGCUAGUAAUCGCAGAUCAGCAACGCUGCGGUGAAUACGUUCCCGGGUCUUGUACACACCGCCCGUCAAGUCAUGAAAGUCGGUAACACCUGAAGCCGGUGGCCCAACCCU